ACGCUGAGUGGAGCUCGGGGCUGCGUAGGGGAGCUGAGCCGAGCGGCUGGGCGGGCCUGGCCGGGCCGGCGGAGGGGAGACGUCGGUUGAGCGGCGGCGAACAUGCGCUUUUGACACAUUGGAGAAGACCACGUGGCCUUAAACCAACUGCUGCAACUCUGUGUGCAGGAUGAUUCUGUGGGCCCAAGUCACCCAGCGCCUAUGCUGCAACCAAAAGUGCCUCCUGUCGCUUUGUAUCAAAGGACCUUUGUCAUGAUCUCAUUCACAAUAUUGGUGGUCCCUGAGAGUGGAGCAGUGGAGUGAUUGACGUGCCUGAGUUUGAAGAGAGUUAACCACUGGAAUCUCUCAUGUUUUAUUCCCUCCAAAAUGCUGCAGCUUUCUUGAUCAUGGAUGGUGAAGAUAUACCAGAUUUUUCAAGUUUAAAGGAGGAAACUGCUUAUUGGAAGGAACUUUCCUUGAAGUAUAAGCAAAGCUUCCAGGAAGCUCGGGAUGAGCUAGUUGAAUUCCAGGAAGGAAGCAGAGAAUUAGAAGCAGAGUUGGAGGCACAAUUAGUACAGGCUGAACAAAGAAAUAGAGACUUGCAGGCUGAUAACCAAAGACUG
rnacentral:lncRNA from 1 species